rnacentral:rRNA from 1 species
ACUCCUACGGGAGGCAGCAGUGGGGAAUAUUGGACAAUGGGCGCAAGCCUGAUCCAGCCAUGCCGCGUGAGUGAUGAAGGCCCUAGGGUUGUAAAGCUCUUUCACCGGUGAAGAUAAUGACGGUAACCGGAGAAGAAGCCCCGGCUAACUUCGUGCCAGCAGCCGCGGUAAUACGAAGGGGGCUAGCGUUGUUCGGAUUUACUGGGCGUAAAGCGCACGUAGGCGGACUAUUAAGUCAGGGGUGAAAUCCCGGGGCUCAACCCCGGAACUGCCUUUGAUACUGGUAGUCUUGAGUUCGAGAGAGGUGAGUGGAAUUCCGAGUGUAGAGGUGAAAUUCGUAGAUAUUCGGAGGAACACCAGUGGCGAAGGCGGCUCACUGGCUCGAUACUGACGCUGAGGUGCGAAAGCGUGGGGAGCAAACAGGAUUAGAAACCCUGGUAGUCCCAUGAU